AUUGAACGCUGGCGGCAGGCCUAACACAUGCAAGUCGAGCGGAUGAUGGGAGCUUGCUCCUUGAUUCAGCGGCGGACGGGUGAGUAAUGCCUAGGAAUCUGCCUGGUAGUGGGGGACAACGUUUCGAAAGGAACGCUAAUACCGCAUACGUCCUACGGGGGAAAGCAGGGGACCUUCGGGCCUUGCGCUAUCAGAUGAGCCUAGGUCGGAUUAGCUAGUUGGUGGGGUAAUGGCUCACCAAGGCGACGAUCCGGAACUGGUCUGAGAGGAUGAUCAGUCACACUGGAACUGAGACACGGUCCAGACUCCUACGGGAGGCAGCAGUGGGGAAUAUUGGACAAUGGGCGAAAGCCUGAUCCAGCCAUGCCGCGUGUGUGAAGAAGGUCUUCGGAUUGUAAAGCACUUUAAGUUGGGAGGAAGGGCAGUAAGCUAAUACCUUGCUGUUUUGACGUUACCGACAGAAUGAGCACCGGCUAACUCUGUGCCAGCCGCCGCAGUAACAC
rnacentral:rRNA from 1 species